rnacentral:rRNA from 1 species
GACGAACGCUGGCGGCGUGCUUAACACAUGCAAGUCGAACGGGUCUGCCCUGUUUUUUGCGGGGUGGGUCAGUGGCGAACGGGUGAGUAACACGUGAGUAACCUGCCCCUCACUUCUGGAUAACCGCUUGAAAGGGUGGCUAAUACGGGGUGUUCUGGCUGUGCCGCAUGGUGUGGCUGGGAAAGAUUCACUUUUGUGGUGUUUUGGUGGGGGAUGGGCUCGCGGCCUAUCAGCUUGUUGGUGGGGUGAUGGCCUGCCAAGGCUUUGACGGGUAGCCGGCCUGAGAGGGUGGGCGGUCACACUGGGACUGAGAUACGGCCCAGACUCCUGCGGGAGGCAGCAGUGGGGGGUAUUGCACAAUGGGCGGAAGCCUGAUGCAGCGACGUCGCGUGAGGGAUGGAGGCCUUCGGGUUGUGAACCUCUUUCGCCGGUGAAGAAGGUCCUGCUCUUUGUGGUGGGGUUGACGGUAGCCGGGUUAUGAAGCGCAGGCUAACUACGUG